rnacentral:rRNA from 1 species
UACGUAGGGUGCAAGCGUUAAUCGGAAUUACUGGGCGUAAAGCGUGCGCAGGCGGUUUUGUAAGUCUGCCGUGAAAUCCCCGGGCUCAACCUGGGAAUGGCGGUGGAUACUGGAUAGCUAGAGUAUGUCAGAGGAUGGUGGAAUUCCCGGUGUAGCGGUGAAAUGCGUAGAGAUCGGGAGGAACAUCAGUGGCGAAGGCGGCCAUCUGGGACAACACUGACGCUGAAGCACGAAAGCGUGGGGAGCAAACAGG